CAUGUUGAGCAUCUGUCUUCAGCACCAUGGUAUCUGAGGGGGUGAGCCUGAAUUUAGAGAAAGUUAGAAACGUAGACGGCUUCAGACCUAGUUUUCAAAAUGGACAUUUUAUGAACAAAGCAAUUGAUUAGUAUUGGAAGAAAGCGUGUUUAUUUUCAGUUCCUACAUGAAGUUAUCUGCCAUUUGGCCAAUUCAAAACAAGCUAGUGUUUUGAAAAGUAAGAGAGGAGCGUUUUAAUUAUAAAACCAAUAAAGCAGAAAUAGCUAACUAUACACAUCCUGACUUUAAUGUAUCAUCCAUUUAACAUAUAUUUGAAAUCAAUUUCCUUGCAUUUUAAAAACCAGUCAUUAUACCUCAGUUUUAAAAAAGACAAAACACUCUACCAUAGAAGCCAUGUGGUUGGCAAAUAGCAGCAAGAAAAGAUGCUCAGUAUCAUUAGACACGAGGAAAUCACAAAUUAAAAUCACAGUGAGUUAUUUCUGUAUAUGAAACAGAAUGGCUAAAAUGGUUUUUGUUAAAACUGACAAUAGGGAGUUCCUGUCUUGGCUCAGUGGUUAACGAACCCAACUAGCAUCCAUGAGGACACAGGUUUGCUCCCUGGCCUUGCUCAGUGGGUUAGGGAUCUGGCGUUGCCGUGAGGUGUGGUGUAGGUCGCAGAUGCGGCUCGGAUCCCGAGUUGCUGUGGCUGUGGUGUAGGCCAGCGGCUACAGCUCUGAUUAGACCCCUAGCCUGGGAACCUCCAUUGCUGUGGAUGCAGCCCUAAAAGACAAAACAAACAAACAAACAAACUGACAAUGCCAAGUGCUACUGAGGAUGCAGAGCAAUUAAAAUUCCUUAUAGGGCAGUCGCAAAAGCCUUACAGUAAGUGACAGAGCCAGUUACCAAAGCCAGGUUACAUACUAUGUGGUCUCCGCUUAUUCUGGACAUCUUGGAAAAGGGACAGAAGUCAGGUUAGUGGUUGCCAGGGGCAGUGUGGGGAGAAGAUUGACAGCAGGAGGGCCCGAGGGACCUCUGGGAGGUGGGAGUAUUCUCUGCCCUGACGUGCUGAUGGUUAUGCACGCCGUGUGUCCAUCUCAACACAUCCAAGUCUCUACCUGUAAAAGGUAGUUUUUAUUUUAUGUCGGUUACAUCUCCGUUUACAAGAGACCAGCGGGUCUGCUCUGAGGACGACCACCCGCACGCUGUGCAGGGAGGGACUGGGAAAGCCACGCUGCUCUGCCGCUGGGUGGUGUGUGGGGGUGGAAGCAGUGAUCCCUGGUGAAUGUUCCCGAGUGUGGACGGAAGUGGUGAGCUGUCACUGACUUUUCCCUGAGCAAAGGACAGCAGGGCAGACCUUGCCUGUGGUCGUGAGCACUCCCUUGCCCCUCAGCCCCAGCAGUGCCGCACAUAAGCCUAAAUAAAGCACGUGCUUCUGGAAACAUCCUCUGUAUUCCUUGCUUUUCAGAUUUCAAGAGCUGUUGUUUAAAUGUGAACAGUAUCUGUGCUAAGUGCUGAGGGGUUGUACCAUGUGUACCUUGUAAAGAAAUGGCCUUUCUUUCCCUGAAUCUUUGUACGAGGGGUUUUGAAAAUCAGAGAGGUAGGCAGGUUUCUAGAGAGCCAACAUAUUUUCAUAUUGAUUACUAAUUUGAAUAAUGUUGGUAACAGUGAGAUGAAAGCUAGGUCUACAUCGUGCUUUCAUGUCAGCUGUCAAGUCUGUAUCCGGCUGUGAUUAUCUUCGCUCUUCUUGCCACCAGCUCAGCAAUACUGAGUUGCAUGUCAUUGGAUUUUUUUUUUUUUUUCCUUUUUUUCAUGCUGCUGUAAAUUUCCAACUGAGAGCAAGGCCCUAUUUUAAGGGAAGUGAACACGUGAUGUCACUUCUAACUGGUUGUGAAAUGCUUUCUUUCGCCUUCCUAUAAAGGGGCCAAAGGAUGGAACUGAAAGCUCAGGUUCAGCUUCUGUGUUCUUGUGACCUCCUGGCCUGUUCUUGAGGAGACGGUGAUGGGUCGUGGGGUCCGAGAGCUCUUUGUGCACUGCAGCAAGCCCGCUGGAAGUCAUUCCAGACCUCUGGAGAAGGCCGCCCAGGCCACCUGACUUCCGGGGCUCCUUGCUGUUCCCCAGGAUUCCGACUGCCAUUGGAGCGGGGUCAUCUCAGGGACAUCCCUUCCUGGAGGGACACGGUCCCCUUCUCUCCCGCUGCCCAUCUCCAUGUGCCCUGUCCCUUUGCAAGGUCGUACUGCAACUCCGCUGCUAACUUUUCUUCAACUUGGAGACCUCGGGUCCAGGUGGGAGGAACUCGGUGGUGUGAACUGUUCCUAAGUCAGAGUUGAACAGGUUACCUGGCAGAGAGGGGACUGUACCCUUUUCUGUGGGAGGGGGAGCCUGUCCUCCCUGUUCUCUAGGAGCUGCAGAGUAACUCUAAACAGAGAUGAACUAGGAGAGCGAUCAGCUGGGCCGAGACCUUUAGAAAUGAUAAAACUGACCAGAGGGUGACUACACUUUUUGAAGACAGUGGGAGGAAAGGAUUGAAAAUAUAAGAUCAGGAGUUCCCUGGUGACCCAGCAGGUUGAGGAUCUGGCAUCGUCACUGCUGUGACUCAGAUCACUUCUGUGGCACGGGUUAGACCCCUGACCUGGGAACUUUGCUGUGAGUGUGCCCCCCCAAAAAAAUACAAUAGAUCAUUUUUCUCUCAUAUUUCGUACAAGUGCUCCCGUAUCAGCUACACAGAAUCCUUUCUAAUUAGCAACUCAACGAAACGUAUUGACUACUUCGAUUUUCACUCUAAAUUAGCCGCUAAUAUUUUCUCAGUUACUCUUAUUAUUUAUGAUUUAGAUAAGCUAGUCUCUCGCUCUCUUUUUUCCUUUUCAUAUGCAUUCGAGGCAUACGGAAGUCCCCAGGCCAGGGGUUGAAUCUAAGCUGCAACUGCAACCUAUGCCACAACUGCAUCAACACUGGAUCCUUAACCCACCACAGCAGGAACUCCUAGUCUCUCCUUUCAUGUGUGAGAAAAAGUAGUCUAACCUCACGUCGGCCCAUGUCAAAGCAGAGAAAAGUCUGAGCUUUGCCAUCAAGACUGCUACCUGGGGGAGUGCCCGUUAUGGCUCAGUGGGUUAAGAACCCCACAUAGUGUCCAUGAAGAUGCAGGUUCAGUUCCUGGCCUUGUUCAGUGGGGUAAAGAUCUGGCAUUGCCACAGCUGUGGCAUAGGUCACAGAUGUGGCUUGGAUCCUGCCUUGCUGUGGCUGUGGUGUAGGCUGGUAGCUGCAGCUGUGAUCCAGCCCUAGCCCGGGAACUUCCAUAUGCCGUGAGUGUGGC
rnacentral:lncRNA from 1 species